rnacentral:rRNA from 1 species
UAGGGAAUCUUCCACAAUGGACGCAAGUCUGAUGGAGCAACGCCGCGUGAGUGAAGAAGGUUUUCGGACCGUAAAGCUCUGUUGUUGGUGAAGAAGGAUAGAGGUAGUAACUGGCCUUUAUUUGACGGUAAUCAACCAGAAAGUCACGGCUAACUACGUGCCAGCAGCCGCGGUAAUACGUAGGUGGCAAGCGUUGUCCGGAUUUAUUGGGCGUAAAGCGAGCGCAGGCGGAAGAAUAAGUCUGAUGUGAAAGCCCUCGGCUUAACCGAGGAAUUGCAUCGGAAACUGUUUUCUUGAGUGCAGAAGAGGAGAGUAGAACUCCAUGUGUAGCGGUGGAAUGCGUAGAUAUAUGGAAGAAUACCAGUGGCGAAGGCGGCUAUCUGGUCUGCAACUGACGCUGAGGCUCGAAAGCAUGGGUAGCGAACAGGAUUAGAUACCCUGGUAGUCCAUGCCGUAAACGAUGAGUGCUAAGUGUUGGGAGGCUUCCGCCUCUCAGUGCUGCAGCUAACGCAUUAAGCACUCCGCCUGGGGGAGUACGACCGCAAGGUUGAAAC